UCCUCCAGUUAUAAUUAUAACCUGUAAGUUUGCUGAAUUGGGUCUUCAGAGAAAUGCUUGAUGUUUGUAAUUACAUUUUGCAGCAUAACAUAUCUUGCUUAAAAGUAUCUAAUUGUUUUAAUUACCUGUUUUUAUAUAAUGAUGUUUUAUACAUCUUCUGUAGAUUGAGAAUGGUGGUUACACUCAGCUGAGUUAAAGGUGGGUUUCCUAGCAAUGUGGCUUGCCAUAAUAGAAGUGCUCCAAAAUGUAUCCCAUUGCAGUGGGUGUUUGCAGUGAAAUUACUCUCACUUGAGAAAUCAUAGGAUCACAGGAUGGCUUGAGUUGGAAGGGACCUUGCAGCCCAUCCAGUUCCAACCCCCAACCAUGCGCAGGGCUGCCACCCAAUAGGUGAGGCUGCCCAGGGCCCCAUCCAACCUGGCCUUGAAGGCCUCCAGGGAUGGGGCAUCCACAGCUUCUCUGGGCAAUUUGUUCCAGUGCCUCACCACCCUCUGAGUAAUUAAUUUCUUCCUAUUGUUUAUCCUGAGUUUCCCCUCUUUUAAUAUAAAACCAUUUCCCCUUGUCCUGCUACUAUCUGCCUGUUUAAAAAGUCGGUGUCCUUCCUGUUAAGUACUGGAAGGCCACAAUGAGGUCUCCCAGAGCCUUUUUCAGGCUGAAUGAGCCCAGCUUUCUCAGCCUUUCUUCAAAGGAGAAGUGCUCCAGCCUUCUGACCUUCUUUGUGGCUUCCUUUGGAUCCUCUCCAACAGCUCUAUGUCUUGUGCUGGGGGCCCAAUGCAGCACAGUGGGGUUUUGUCCUGAAAAUGGGGACAAAGCUGGGAGGAGAAGUCUUUCACCUUCAUGUGAUAAAUGCAACAGAUACAGCUUUGGAAGCAAGUUGUUUUGUUCAAAGCAAAAAUCAUAGAACUGUAGAGAAGGAAGACUUAUGUGUGUUAUCUCAUGAAGACAAUUGGCUGGAGAAAGGAAGAGCUUCCUUGGGAAGGAGGAUCCCACAGUUCACUGACAACUCAUUCACAACUGGCGGUAUUCUAUUAGGGAAGGGUUGCAUACCAGGUGGAUGGUGUCCUCCUUUGAAAGUGAUUUCCUAGCCAUAAUCUGUCUAAAUGGAUUUUUGCUCUGUUUUUGUUAAGGGCAGUUUUCUCCUGUAGUGUCUGAAAGAUGUCCUUUGGAAUCAUACGUGCAAAUAGGGCAGUUUUACUUGCCGCUAUACUUUCAUGGUAUGAAGGCAAGUUCAGAAAUAACAUGGAUUGGUAAACCGGUGUAUAAAAGUGUUUACUUGUGAAUUCACUUGUAAUACUGCAUUGACAGAACUAUUGUGGUUGUUUCCUCUGCUUGGAAAUUAGGUAAAAUCAGUCUAUUAGCACCCACAUACUGGUGAUAUCUUAAGAGAAUGUUUAGAAGCCUCCUCAAUCCAUUGCUAGUUUGGGGCAUUCUCUAACUGAAGUUGUAGCAAUCUACUACGAAUCAUUUAUCCACCUCCCUUCUUGCAGUCCUCUAUUGUGAUGACCUGUCACUCCAUAAUUGCAUUCUCAAGGAUAUUUCUAUCUCUACUCCCGUUGUGUCCAAAGUACAUACAUUUACACCUAUUCAUUUCUGACAACCAAGUCUGCUUUUGUCCAGUAAUAUCUUUAAUAGGAGCAUUUAUCUUCUUUUUCUGUCCAAGAGAUAAGUAAGAGCCUUUACUUGCACCACACUCAAAAACUUCCAUUUUCUUCCUGUCACUGUCAAUAAUUUCUCAGGAUUUGCAUAAUUCAUGAAUUGCUAUAGCAAAAAAAUUAAGCAUUUCACCAAUGAAGUCUUUCUGCUGUUUGAGGUGAAACGGUUUUUAUCAGGCUGAUAUAAGGAAAGCCAUGGCUGAACCAACUGUUGUUCAAAAUGUUACGGUUUCUACUGGGCAGAUUCUGAUUGGAUAUAUUUGAUCCUAGAUAACUGAAUUUAUGAACAGUCUCUGUAGCCAGACCAUUCAGCAUAAAGCAUAACAUUCUAUUCUUAUUAAUUAAGUAUAUUUGUGGCAUAUUCAAAAAUAGCUUGUAUUUUUAACUAAGUUUUUAUUGGCUGUCUAAUGCUUGCUGCACAGUAGAAGCAGUUGUGACAAAGAACAUUAAGACAUCAGCCUAUGAGUCCAUUGCAAAUACAGCUUCUCAAUUCUGAAAUGUCCUUCCCCAAUUUUAUUUAUUUAUUUAUUUAUUUUCCCAGCCAGGCUAUAAGGAAAUCUGCAGUUAUCACCUCUGUAAACUGGAAAGUUUAGCCCACGGCAGCUACCUACGAGGGAGAAGAUUAUACGAGCAGUCUCCCUCUUCCCCCAAUUAGAUGAGAACUGUUGUACGGUCUGUUUAAAAAUCAGAAUGUGUGGUACUGAGGUUCUGAUUAAAAGGCUUCUACACGAGAAGUAUUGAUUAUAUUUGUGUUGUUGCUGUUCCUAAUUCUUUCACGGAUGCAAUACCUUCUGCUUGCAGUAAAGAAAAGAAUGAGACAGAACUUUACAAAUGAGUAUAAAUCUAGGAUUUACCAUUAUGAUGAAAGAAAGAGAUGUGAUGAAUGGAUGUAAAAUCUCGGAGCUGUAGUGUAAUGAUGGGGUCAUUUCAUCAUGAUGGGUAGAUAUGACAUGCAGUAUUCAGAGCCUUCAAAAAGGGUUUCAUUUAUCAUACUCGAAGAGGCAUCAAAGUGUUUGGGUAUGACUCAAAGCAAAAGAAUCGUUACAAUUUGCCUUUGAACAAACUCAGGAAAUAUAUUGAUCGUAUAGGUUUAUGCUGCUAGGAAAACAGCUAAUGAUGAUUCAGUCUAUGUAUUUUGUGCAUAGCUUGAGGAAAUGUUCAUUAAAACCUUACACCAUGUAUGCCGCUACACCCUUUGGGAACUUAAACAUAAAAGCUGGAAUUUCAAAACCUUAUUAAGUACAAUUUGAGUUUACAGAAAUAGAAUAAUAUAUUUGAAUUCUGGAAUUGUGUGGCCAUAGGUGAGAGAGGAAACUACACCAGAUGAUGUUUGGAGUAAAAAGAAAGCUCUGAUUUCCAAAUGUGCUGGUGCAUAGUGUUCAAUAACAGCAGUAUUGGUCGAUGAAGAUGGUGACUGAGUUCAUUUGAGCUGAUGUUCAAAUGGAUAUUUAACAAAGUGGGCCACGAAUGGGUUUCUAAGGAGAGGACAGAAUACCAGAAAUGGAGCAGAUGAAGCCAGAAGUAGGCUAGACAAGGCAAGAGCAAGCACAGAAGUGAGAAAGCAUGGCUGUGACAGAUGUGAAUGCUUAACAAUACAAAUGUGUUCUCAGUAGCCAGGCUGUGAACCAGAAAUUUGCAAUGACUGGGUAUGGGAAAGUUCAUCAUGGUAGCGGUCACCGGAGAUGAUGAUUCUGAAUGCCAGCAGAGUUCGAACUUACGCUGUUCAUAAAGUGGACUGAUAUGUAUCCACUUACAAUUUUACCAGCAUCUAAAACACUAUUUAUAUCCUGUCUGAAAUUGGCAGGGCAGCUCAUAUGUUCUCCGUGUAAUGUACUGUAACUACACUGUAUCUAGUACGUAAACGUUUGCUUUCUUAAUAUAUUGCUACUGUUCUUUUUAUCUUCCAGACACUGCGUAUUUAUGCCUAAUCUUUUGUAUUUUCAGUUCAGCACAGGCUAAAACUGUCAGCCUCAUUUAUCUGACACUAUUAAAAAUGCAGACAAAGGCUUUCAGCCAGCAUGUGAACAUUGAAGUUGCUACUUUCUAUGUACCCAGUUUUUGCUUAUGGGAUGUCAUUGAUCUAUAUCUGAUCAAUAUUUUUAAAAUUUCCUUUGAGAUCUGCUCAGCAGCCAUCUGUAAUCCAGUGUGUGGAGGAGAAAGCUGAGUGAGUCAGUUUCUUCAUUCCUCUUCAGAGUCAUUUUGCUCUGACACUGCCUUGAUGCGCUAGGCUUAUAUGAGAAAUGGGAAUGCAGGAGGAUGUAUGAAUGAGAUGAAGAAAUGGGAGGAGCUGAGAUGAGCACACGUGGGAGUUCCAGCUGAGCUGAAGACCUGCAUCAAAAUACUUUGGGACUUUCAUUCCUGCAUGCCUGUUUGAUGUUUUGGUGCUCCUAUGGUUAGUAGAUGCCCUCUUGCUGAACCUGGGGAAGAACAUGUGAGUGACAGUGGCAACAGUCAUACAACCAGGUGAUACAAUCUGCUGGCCACAAAACAGCAAACCUGGCUAUGUAGAGUAGACAGGUAAAUUAAAAAAGCUUGAAUUGAGGAAGGGCCGUUUCUGUUAUAUCAAUUCUAACAAUAGGUUUAAACAUCAUCUGGAUAGGGAUUUGCUUUUUAGGUGCCUUUAAUCGAUGCUGAAUUUGAAAAGUAAAUGUGUAAUGUCGAAAAUUGUCCAGUUCAUAACAAUAGUGAGAUAAGGAUGUAAUUCUUAUCAAAGUACCCAUUGGUCUCUCUAACCAUCACCACUGCACAAAAGAAGAGAUCACACCUCAGUAAUGGAAAAGGUGCACCAAACAAAUGAAUCGCUCCUCUUUCAAUGUUAUUUUAAGCUAUGUUCUUUCUUCCAGGUUUUGGGGAACGUAGACAACAGGAAUCAAAUCAUUCAAAGAGUUCAUUGUCUGAUCAUCCAUUUGAAGAAAGCUUCAACAUUUUUUACGUGCUGGUUGUAUUAACAGAUUAUUUUUUAUUUUUUUGCCUAUUAAGAUGGGCCCACGUCCAAAUUGCGACAUCCUGAAUUGUGUGUGAGCUAAAUCUGGUUACAGAUAGGAAUCUGAAUAUUAUGAGCAGGGUGGAGUUGAGCUAAAGAUCUGACUCCCUCGGCCUUGUGACUUGGAUGUGACAUGAGUUUGGCAUGUCCAAGCUAACCCUAUUUUUUUACCUAGCCCCUGAAUAAAUUGGAAACUUAAAAAGGCACUGUCAUGUUUUGUAUCUGAAACCAUAAGGUGGUCUUAAGCUGCCUGCAGUGCUGUAAAUUUGAGUUUCUUUUGUUGCUGUUGUUAUUCAUUGGGAAAGAAUGCGGCCCGGUUUCCAGUGACAGAGGGUGUGAAAUGGUAUAAAGUAGAAGUAAAAGGUGGAUUAUUUUGAAGAGACAAAAAAACCAAACCAAAACAAAACCAUAGUUCCCUGUUCAACAGGGACCAAAUAACCAUGGAGCCAGUUUCCUAUGUAAGUAACUGCGAUUCUGUCAUGUGACAGUUACAUGGAGUCACAUACUGAACAAAGAAUUUUCUUAAAAAAAAAAAAAAAAAAAAAAAAAAGAAAAAGAACUGUAGUCUAUGAAGCUGCUUUUAAAUGCUCAAUGCUCCCUGCUCCCUUCCCCCAUCUCCUUGGCUUCUUGUUUCAGCGUAAGUAGUAGAGCACACAAGUUAUUCAAGUUUAGAAACUAGUUAGUGAAAUUGAAUUCAUAAAUGAGUGCUAGUGAUUUUAGACCAUAAAAUGGAUCCUAAUUUAUUUUUACAAGCAGCAUGACUGAGGUUAAGCUUGAAGGUUGCUGUAGCCAGACAGGUUUUUUUGUAAAGCUGGUGAGUGAGGAGCAUCGACACCACAUAGGAUACACAUUGGAUACCUAUGCUUAUGUAGCAUGUACUUACAUAGUGUAGAGUUUUGAACUCAGAAAUUUUUUGUGAAAUACACAGGUCUGGGUCAGAUCUGUAUUUCGAAAUAAAGCCUCUAAAAAAACACUGCUGAAAGAAAGCAAAUAGAUUUUUAUACAUUUUGUAAUCUGAUGUUAACAGUCACAGUGAGGUAAACAUUUAUAAAUCACUUGUAACUGGCAGGCUGUUAACUUCUGGUAAAUGGUUUGCUCAGACAAUGGAGUAGAGUCUUUCUUGACAUCUAACAGUGUUUAUUCACUCAGAUGACAUUAAUAGGUUGCUGAAACUAAAAUUCAGGGUCGCAACUAAUAUUACAUCUACUUAGAAAUCCCAUUCUGCAGCCAGGUGCAACAGUUUAAAAUCUGUGAGUGAGAGCAGUAAAACAGCUGACAUCCCCAAACUUCCUGCACAAUGGGAACACUGUGGGUUGGUUUUGGUUUUUUUUUGGUCUGUUUGUUUGUUUUUUAAAUCUGGAAUAACUAAAAUGUUGUAAUUAGUUUUUAGUUGAAAUAUUACACGAUCAAAAGAAAACAUUAACUGGUAGCUUUUUGAACUUUUCUUUAUAAUAAAGUCAAAUUAAAAUUUACUUUUUCAGUAAAUGUUUUCAAGGCUUUGGUUCUGCAUCUCAAAAUGAUUCAAUCAUGUUAAGUGAACGUGUUUGAGGAAAUGCCCCUUUUUUGCUCUAAGUAAAGUGGUUAUUGUAGGUGAGGCAUAAUAACUUACUGUACUGAGAUCCUAAUACAGGCAAGCUAGUUGGUAGGUUUCUCGUGUUCUUCAUGCUAUUGAGGUGAAGGUAAACAGAUAAGAAUAUAAAAUUACUGUAGUCUUCUAGUACAUAUUUUCCCACUAAAAGAAACAAGCUUCUUUCUGCCUCUACCCCCAUUUGCCUUAAGGAAGAUACAGUACAACGUUGGAUGAUUUGGAUUUUGCUGGUAUCACUUAUACUUGACACCUGACUCUGAAUAAGAUAUCCCAAGAGAAGCUCAGCUACCAAACAAAAUAAAAUGCUCAAGUCUCAUAUUGCAAAUUCUUGAAUGAUGUUGGUUCUGUUUCAACCUGGAAAAUUGUAACACAGUUCCAAACCAGAGCACUUCCUUCUGGAGCUCUGCCUGCCAUCAUGCAGCAGAGCAGAGACCCCCGUGGUUCUGUCAUGGGGCAUUUUGUUCUUGCAGCUCCAGCUUUACCCAUGAGUGGAGGCCAUGAAUGAUACUGUUCCUUGGAAAUGUCUUCUUUCUCGGUCAGCAUACUGCAAUUGUUUUGUUAAAAUCAGUAAGUAAACAUCCUGGUCAAAUUCCAGUUCAGAUAACAGCACUCUGCUUACAGAGUUCCUGCAGUUUCAAAUAAAUGGCAUACUUAUGUCUGUUACCCUGUUCUGUGGUAUUGGAUGGUGGUGGUAAGCAGCUGGUAUGUUGUGGCUCAGAGGUGAUCUCAGCUAACUCAGGCAUAAGGUGGAUCCCCUUUGCUUUUCAUUAUUACUUUAAAAUUGAGACAUGUUGAUGAUGGUAAAGUUGCUGAAGUGUCAAACAUUUAUCUCUUUUUUCUUCUUCCUGUACAUCUUGUUCUAACUAUUGCAGAGAUAAAAAUGGUGUCUG
ensembl:lncRNA